GUCCAUAUCAGACAAUCAGUCCGUAGUCGCUUGUCGAGUGUGUAGUGCCGUAGUCGCUCAAAUAUUCUUACCAUGAACUCCAUGGAUGAUAUAUUUGUAACAAAACGAGGAAGACGAUGUGUUCUGAUACAGGGAUAUAAGCUAAGUGAAAAUAAAACCGAACUUUUCACUUCAGAUGUACAAAUCGUAACGUAACAGCAAUCAUUGAUUGAAACGAGUGUUGACUGCAAACUGACACGAACACAAAGCUGCUGAUCGACACUCAAAAAAUCCAAUUCUGCUAAAACAUCAUACGAUAAUAAUAAUAAUAAAUAUAAUCGCAUAACAUAAAAUCGUGUACUAUGCAACAAUGGGUGUUCAAGCACUCUUCUUUAACACAAGCUGCAAAAACUAGGAGCGUAAACAAUUGGCUUAUACGACGGUACCACGGCCUAACAUUAGAUUGCGGCGAUGUGGAGUACACGGAAAUAGAAAAAUAUUUCAAUCGAUGAUCAAAUACAACACAAUUUACGUCAAAGGUUUGCAGAAAAAUACAAUUAUUAGUGAGUUUAUGCCUUAUGCCAACGUCAUCAACGUGGAAGACCUAUAAUGUGUCCUCGUACAGAUAACUUGGC